rnacentral:rRNA from 1 species
ACAUGCAAGUCGAACGAGAGCGUAGAGAAAGCUUGCUUUUUCUACAAUCUAGUGGCAAACGGGUGAGUAACGCGUAAACAACCUGCCCUACGGAUGGGGACAAUAGCUGGAAACGGCUGCUAAUACCGAAUACGUUCCGAAAGUCGCAUGACUGUCGGAAGAAAGGAUGGCCUCUAUUUAUAAGCUAUCGCCGGAGGAGGGGUUUGCGUCUGAUUAGCUAGUUGGAGGGGUAACGGCCCACCAAGGCGACGAUCAGUAGCCGGUCUGAGAGGAUGAACGGCCACAUUGGAACUGAGACACGGUCCAGACUCCUACGGGAGGCAGCAGUGGGGAAUCUUCCGCAAUGGGCGAAAGCCUGACGGAGCAACGCCGCGUGAGUGAAGACGGCCUUCGGGUUGUAAAGCUCUGUUAUACGGGACGAAUAAUCUUGUGGUUAAUACCCAUAAGAAGUGACGGUACCGUAAGAGAAAGCCACGGCUAACUACGUGCCAGCAGCCGCGGU